rnacentral:rRNA from 1 species
CCUACGGGAGGCUGCAGUGGGGAAUAUUGCACAAUGGGCGCAAGCCUGAUGCAGCCAUGCCGCGUGUGUGAAGAAGGCCUUCGGGUUGUAAAGCACUUUCAGCGGGGAGGAAGGCGUUAAGGUUAAUAACCUUGGCGAUUGACGUUACCCGCAGAAGAAGCACCGGCUAACUCCGUGCCAGCAGCCGCGGUAAUACGGAGGGUGCAAGCGUUAAUCGGAAUUACUGGGCGUAAAGCGCACGCAGGCGGUCUGUCAAGUCGGAUGUGAAAGCCCCGGGCUCAACCUGGGAACUGCAUUCGAAACUGGCAGGCUAGAGUCUUGUAGAGGAGGGUAGAAUUCCAGGUGUAGCGGUGAAAUGCGUAGAGAUCUGGAGGAAUACCGGUGGCGAAGGCGGCCCCCUGGACAAAGACUGACGCUCAGGUGCGAAAGCGUGGGGAGCAAACAGGAUUAGAUACCCGGGUAGUC